AACGUAGGAGGCGAGCGUUAUCCGGAUUUACUGGGUGUAAAGCGCGUGCAGGCGGUGGGCUAAGUUGGGUGUGAAAGCUCCUGGCUCAACUGGGAGAGGUCGCUCAAGACUGGCUGACUAGAGCAUGGUAGGGGAAGGUGGAAUUCCGGGUGUAGUGGUGAAAUGCGUAGAUAUCCGGAGGAACACCAGUGGCGAAAGCGGCCUUCUGGACCAUGACUGACGCUCAGACGCGAAAGCUAGGGGAGCAAACGGG
rnacentral:rRNA from 1 species